GUGCCAGCAGCCGCGGUAAUUCCAGCUCCAAUAGCGUAUAUUAAAGUUGUUGUGGUUAAAAAGCUCGUAGUUGAACCUUGGGCCUGGCUGGCCGGUCCGCCUCACCGCGUGCACUGGUCCGGCCGGGCCUUUCCCUCUGUGGAACCCCAUACCCUUCACUGGGCGUGGCGGGGAAACAGGACAUUUACUUUGAAAAAAUUAGAGUGCUCCAGGCAGGCCUAUGCUCGAAUACAUUAGCAUGGAAUAAUAAAAUAGGACGCGCGGUUCUAUUUUGUUGGUUUAUAGGACCGCCGUAAUGAUUAAUAGGGACAGUCGGGGGCAUCAGUAUUCAACUGUCAGAGGUGAAAUUCUUGGAUCAGUUGAAGACUAACUACUGCGAAAGCAUUUGCCAAGGAUGUUUUCAUUAAUCGGGAACGAAAGUUAGGGGAUCGAAGACGAUCAGAUACCGUCGUAGUCUUAACCAUAAACUAUGCCGACUAGGGAUCGGACGGUGUUAUUCAUGACCCGUUCGGCACCUUACGAGAAAUCAAAGUGCUUGGGCUCCAGGGGGAGUAUGGUCGCAAGGCUGAAACUUAAAGAAAUUGACGGAAGGGCACCACCAGGGGUGGAGCCUGCGGCUUAAUUUGACCCAACACGGGGAAACUCACCAGGUCCAGACACAAUAAGGAUUGACAGAUUGAGAGCUCUUUUCUUGAUUUUUGUGGGUGGUGGUGCAUGGCCGUUCUUAGUUGGUGGGGUGACUUGUCUGCUUAAUUGCGAUACGAACGAGACCUUAACCUGCUAAAUAGCCCGCAUUGCUCGCAGUGCGCUGGCUUCUUAGAGGACUUCGCUCAGCGAGAGUUUGAGCAUACAGUCUUGAUGCCUUAAGAUGUUCUGGGCCGCACGCGCCGCUUACACUUGACGGGUCCAGCCGAGG
rnacentral:rRNA from 1 species